GGCUUAGUGGCGGACGGGUGAGUAACGCGUGGGUAACCUGCCAUAUACAGGGGGAUAACACUUAGAAAUAGGUGCUAAUACCGCAUAAGCGCACGGAGCUGCAUGGCUCAGUGUGAAAAACUCCGGUGGUAUAUGAUGGACCCGCGUCUGAUUAGCUUGUUGGCGGGGUAACGGCCCACCAAGGCGACGAUCAGUAGCCGGCCUGAGAGGGUGGACGGCCACAUUGGGACUGAGACACGGCCCAAACUCCUACGGGAGGCAGCAGUGGGGAAUAUUGGACAAUGGGGGGAACCCUGAUCCAGCGACGCCGCGUGAGUGAAGAAGUAUCUCGGUAUGUAAAGCUCUAUCAGCAGGGAAGAAAGAAAUGACGGUACCUGACCAAGAAGCCCCGGCUAACUACGUGCCAGCAGCCGCGGUAAUACGUAGGGGGCAAGCGUUAUCCGGAUUUACUGGGUGUAAAGGGAGCGUAGACGGUAAUGCAAGUCUGGAGUGAAAUGCAGGGGCUCAACCCCUGAACUGCUUUGGAAACUGUAUGACUGGAGUGCAGGAGAGGUAAGUGGAAUUCCUAGUGUAGCGGUGAAAUGCGUAGAUAUUAGGAGGAACACCAUUGGCGAAGGCGGCUUACUGG
rnacentral:rRNA from 1 species